rnacentral:rRNA from 1 species
CCUACGGGGUGCAGCAGUGGGGAAUAUUGGACAAUGGGCGAAAGCCUGAUCCAGCCAUGCCGCGUGUGUGAAGAAGGCCUUCGGGUUGUAAAGCACUUUCAGUGGGGAAGAAAGCCUUGGGGCUAAUACCCUCGAGGAAGGACAUCACCCACAGAAGAAGCACCGGCUAACUCCGUGCCAGCAGCCGCGGUAAUACGGAGGGUGCGAGCGUUAAUCGGAAUUACUGGGCGUAAAGCGCGCGUAGGCGGUCUGAUAAGCCGGUUGUGAAAGCCCCGGGCUCAACCUGGGAACGGCAUCCGGACCUGUCAGGCUAGAGUGCAGGAGAGGAAGGUAGAAUUCCCGGUGUAGCGGUGAAAUUCGUAGAGAUCGGGAGGAAUACCAGUGGCGAAGGCGGCCUUCUGGACUGACACUGACGCUGAGGUGCGAAAGCGUGGGUAGCAAACAGGAUUAGAUACCCUUGUAGUC